CUGGAGAUGAUGAUAGCAGGCGCGUGCUGAUGUGGAAAGUCGUCUCGGACUCUCGGGGUACUGACUCGGCCGUCGCUCGGACCAGCAGCCGUACAGCCCCGAGACGUUCAGAGAGCCUGAAACGCCGACGCACACGGCAUGAGCUCCCCGUUCUUCAGUGCUGGGGGGGAGGAGGUUAAUCACAGUCGGGACGUAUUCCCUCACUUCUGGAGGGUACACUUCUCCCCGUUCAGGCCCCAAGUGUUUCAUCUCAUCCUCACUGGACAAAGAGGCAGCGCUCACACUGCUGCACAGCUCAUCCCAGUGUGAGUGCAACAGCACCCCUCUGUGGUUCCCCACGGAGCUGCAUGUCUGGUCUGGAUAAGAGUCUUCUCGAUCCGUGCCAUCUGAAGCGAGCAAAAGCACAGAGAUCAGGCGUAUACUCUACAAAGGUGCAUGUCAAAAAAUUCGAUUAUUGUGGAAAAUUAAUUUUAUGUGAAUUUUUUCCCGUAAUUUAACUCAAAAAGUGAAACUUUAAUAUAUUCUAGAUUCAUUAUACAUAAAGUGAAAUAUUUCAAGCCUUUUUUUAAAAACUUGUUUUAAUCUCGAUGAUUUCAGCUUACAGCUCACGGAAAUCAAAAAUCCAGCAUCUCAAAAUAUUAGAAUAAAGAAUUUAUAAUACAAUAUAAUAUUUGACUUUAAGUGUAAUGAAUCCAGGCUAUAUUAACGUUCCACUUUUUGAAUUAAAUUACGGAAAAAAAUGAACUUUUCCACGAUAUUUGAAUUUUUUUGAGAUAGGGCAAAUAUUUUACAUUCACAUGGACCUUUAAUCCUUCUGUUCCCUACACCGUUUCCUUUGCCAUUAUGCCACGCGUCUAUAGAUUGUAUAGCAAUUUAAAAAAUAUCCGCUAUACAGGAAGUGCAUCAGAACUGGGUGUCUUCAGGACUCAUCAAAAAUUGCAAGUGUGUUUUAUAAAUAAUGUUGAUUAUAUUCAAUAA